GGUCUGGUGGCCUAGUGGUUAGAGUAUCCACCUCAGAUACGGGAGGCUCUGUAUUCGAACCCAGGCCAAGUCA